rnacentral:rRNA from 1 species
AUGGACGAAGGCACGCGGCGGUGUUGCCAGCACCGGGCAUGCGUAGACUGGGAGCUGCACGAGCUGUACGCCAUGUCGAGGAAGUUUGAGAGGCCAGCAGAGAAAGACUCGACGACGGUUGCGGCGCCAAUCGGCGCGGGGCCAAUGUCGCCCGCGGUUGUCAGAGUAGAUGACGGCGACGCUGGCGAUGGGCUGGUGCUGGACGAAGACGAAGGGGGUGGACAGGCGGCUGCAGCGGCUAUAGGGGUAGUGGCGGCGGCGGCCGAAGAAGAGCAGCGGCGGCGGCCUGACGGCGGCGGCGGCGGCUAG